rnacentral:lncRNA from 10 species
UGGAUUUUCCAUGGUUUUAUUUAUUGUUCAAUUGUGUAUUUGGAAACACAAGAGGGGACACUGACCACAUUUGCUGGGGAAGUGAUGAAUGCACCCAUAUGGGCAUAGGGAACAAUGGGCUAUACAACCCCAUGGAUGCCCUUGGUAAGGGCAGAGAUGCAAAGCUGGCUCACCAGCUUGCCUCACAUGCUGCUCCCACUUUAUCACCUGAUUCUGCCAUCUCUUCCUGGUGUGAGAGGUGUCUACAUUUUAUUGCCUCAUAGUAUUUCUACUGGUUACAUUCUCUCUGCACCUGACUGGAGUCAGGGAUUUGGAAUCCAAUUGCUGCUCCUCUGCUUGGAUUGCUGGCCUUCUGUAACCAACCAGCAUAGGAGUCACCCUUCUCAAGCAAAUUGCAGAUUGCCAGAUUUGCAAUCCUAAACCAAAUCAAGCAGCGGCCCACUGAAGUGUUCUUCCAUCUAUGCAUCCAUUUGUCCACCCAGCCAAUCAGUCAAGUGCUUUUUAAGCAUCUCCAAAUGUGUUUCAGAGCAAAAUAAGAAAUGGUCCCUGCCUUCAAGCAGCUUUGCAACCUGAUCAUGGAGAACAAACGGUGCACCAGGAAAUCAAAUAGUAGUUAAAGAGGGUAAUUAAUGAAGCACAAACAGUGAAAGCAUAGAGGUUUAGGGAGAAGACAUGUUAAAGAGAGCAGAGAUGGUCAGGUAAUGCUUCUGGAAGAUGGGGGCUAAUGGAAGGCCUUGAAGAAACAGUAUUAUUCUAAAGAGAAGAGGGGACAAAGGGGAUCACUCUGGAGACUGGAAGCAACACAAAAACUCAGAAGCCAGAAUCAGAUCUCUGCCUUUCCAGAACACAAGAAAAAAUUAAGCACGCUAGUAGAACACUUUAAAUUUGCAAGGUACAUCCAUGUUUCUUCUUCUUCUUUUUUUCUUUUCUUCUCCGAUAAAACCUGUCAAGGGGAGAUGCCCCAACCUGUCCAGUCCCCUGCUCUGUGCAGACCUGGCUUGGACCUUGACCUGUCCAGUUGGCUGGGUCAUUUAAUGGCGACACACCCACUGAGUCCUGAGGGCCCCUGGAGAUUUACCUUGGUGCUUUCCCCUCCAUGUUCUGUCCUGGGUAAAACAAUCACAUACCGCCUAAAAGAAAUUCAAUUUAGAAGUCACACAUGGAGAAAGGAAAACAAUCUCAA